CCAAGGACUACCAGGUCCAUGCUGCUAAUCCAGGCUGAGGCCGGGGAGCCACCAUGGACAGCUCCUCGCCUGUCUUCCUCCUGCUUACUGCAUAGGCUCUGCAGCCAUUUAAGGCUAAACUGCCAUAUCCGCUCUGUCCUUGAUGUUGUGGCUCUUCGGAUCCGGGCAGAGAAGGUCUUAGCUGUGGUGUCUGAGGUCCCAAGGCCAGGCAAAAGGGUGACGUCAUCCUUGCCAUCUGCAAUACGGUCAACGGAUCGGUUACUGUGCCACAAAGUCUUCUGGUGCACAUGCAGGGAGACUGAAAACCACCCCAGAUGAGGACCAAACUUUGUGAUUGAGACUCUCCUCCCGUUCAAGCCUGGGACAGACAAUGAGCUUUCAUUCCGAUCCUCUGAGCCCUUGGAGGACCUCUGUGUUAUGUGGGAGUUCGUUCACUCACCACUGCCCGCUUCACAUACUACGAAGGGCACACACUCCUGAGCCCACAGUGGCGUCCCACUGGUGUUAACACAGCAGCCUGACCCCCAAGUCACGGUCCAGCUCCCCUGGCCUAAACAGUCUCCUCAGCAUCGGAACCUUCUGGGCAUUUACAUUCCCUGGUCUCAUCAGCCCGCUCACCUUCCGCCCAUUGAACCUGGCACCGCACUGCUUCCGGGGUGGACGGAGCACGGCUCACACACGGUACGCGGCUUCCUUUAAGUCCCCUGACCCUAUUUCCACACCUAGAAAUUGCUAUAGAGUACAUUUUAAACCCGAAACUGUUUUACUGCUCGAAUUUCUAGAACAGAAGUCGCACACUUGCAAUCUUGGGAUCAGCUCAACCCACAGAUGUGUUUUGUUUGGCCUGGACACU